rnacentral:rRNA from 1 species
AUUGAACGCUGGCGGAAUGCUUUACACAUGCAAGUCGAGCGGCAGCGCGGCCUUCGGGCUGGCGGCGAGCGGCGAACGGGUGAGUAAUGCAUCGGAACAUGCCCAGUCGUGGGGGAUAACACUUCGAAAGAAGUGCUAAUACCGCAUACGUCCUGAGGGGGAAAGCGGGGGAUCGCAAGACCUCGCGCGAUUGGAGUGGCCGAUGUCAGAUUAGCUAGUUGGUGGGGUAAAGGCCUACCAAGGCGACGAUCUGUGGCUGGUCUGAGAGGAUGAUCAGCCACACUGGGACUGAGACACGGCCCAGACUCCUACGGGAGGCAGCAGUGGGGAAUUUUGGACAAUGGAGGCAACCCUGAUCCAGCUAUUCCGCGUGAGUGAAGAAGGCCUUCGGGUUGUAAAGCUCUUUCGGCAGGAACGAAACGGUGGGCUCUAACAUAGUCCGCUAAUGACGGUACCUGAAGAAGAAGCACCGGCUAACUACGUG